GUGGUUAUGCUUUCAGACGCACUAAUCGACGAGGAGACAUGGCUGGGCUGUGUUAGGUGAGGGAUUCCCUACAAGGUAAAUGUAAACAUUACCACAGUCGAGCGCUGGCAGGGACCUGGUGGCUUUUAACAGCAGAAAUACGGCAGUGGGUGCUUUAUAUGGAUUGCCAGUGCCCAACACUUGCAGCUUGUGCCCAUAUCUAUCUUUUCCUUGAGUUGAGAUUCGAUCUAAAUUAAAUUUAAUUAAAUUUAAUGGCUUUUGCGGUGUCUCUACGAGGGAGUCCGGUGUGAGCCGCAAUCUUGGUCUGUUAUUUUGCCCUCCAGGUCACCGUGCAUGUCACAUGACUGAAAACUAUGAACUGGCUGUGUUCGAAACAAGCUAAACUGCUGUCUCAGAAGGUGCUUCAGAUGCUGACCUGAUGCAGCCUAUGCCCAUAAACCAGUGCAACUACGGCUGGUGCAGUUUACAAAAAAUGGUCAUGUUUUUUUGUAGUUUUCUUGCUUCGAUUUUUGAAAAGUUAGCGAGAACUAAACACUGAACUAUCAAAAUAUUUAUUAAUAUCCCCCUUGUCAAUGUAUACAUACUGCGAUAACAAGGCGUUCACGGUGUAUUCCUCAGAGAAAUUACAGCUUUUAAGAGAAAUAGUUUUUUCUAAGGUAAUACCCAGAACCCCAGGCUGCUAAUAUUAAGAGCUCAAGUCCUCAAUGCCAUGCCAGUUAUUUACACUCUACUAUUUCCCUGUCAGUGCCUCGUCAGUUUAGCAACCCCGAGAGUCCCAAUCUGUCAGCUGUUCCCCCCAUGUACCAUGACCUCCAGGCAAUAAGGCCAUAUCACUACCACCUCGCGGUCCUUGCUCUACUGAGUUCUACUGUUUUCCCCAGCAGCCUUCUGUAUAGUUUGAAUGGAAAACAGCAUUUAAGACAUUUUGAAGACUUGGUCAUGCCCUGUGGACUCACCAACGCCCCAGCCAUUUUCCAAAGUCUGGUAAAUGAGGUGUUAAGAGAAAUACUAGAGCGUUUUGUGUUUGUCUACCUGGAUGACAUUUUGAACUUUUCCAGAGACCCCGCUGAGCAUGUGAAACACGUCCGUCUGGUUCUGCAGCAUCUCCUGGACAUUAAACUUUUCAUCAAAGCUAAGAAGUGCAAAAUUCCACGCUUCCACUGUCUCGUUCCUGGCGUACAUCAUCUCUCAAGGUGAACUCUGGAUGGACUCUACCAAGCUACAGCCUGCUGGCAAGUUGUGGAAGGAGGGGAGGAAAACACUCAAAAGCACAAGUGUGUGUCGAAGUUGCGUGCAUGCUUGUUCCAAUGCUUCCAAGUGACCAAAACCGAUAGAACGCCACGGGAGAUUCAUCUGGAGGUCGUGGUGGCUGGAAGAGAGAUACAGAAGAAGUGAAAUUUUCAAUUAACCUACUUUGAUCAGCCUCUUUAGUGUUUUUUGUUUUUGGGUGGGAGGAGAUGUGCAGUCGUUCUGUGUGUCUUUUCCAAUUUAGUUUCCUGUUAUCGUGCGGGUUCAUCACACACCCACUCCUUCUCACUGUGCUGGGAUUAAGACAACAGAUUCCUUGCCACAGUCAGCCUACACGGUGGAUUAAGACCAAAGCAAACCCCAGGUUGUUGCUCUC